CUGCAAACUGUACUGCUGGGAAUGCCUAUUAUUUGCAAGUGAUCGAUUUGGUGUUUGGAGCCACACUGGCUUUGCAAACCUGAGUUGUCUAACCAAGGUAGCAACGAGACACCAAAGUACGGCUGGGCACUUACAAACAAUGGUGCUUUUGAAAACUUUUGGGGACACCCGAGUGGAUCUACAGCUCAACGAACAAGCGCGCAGGGCAACGAAGCUGCACAAUGAAAAGCAAAGCCCUGAACAGGAUGUUUGUAUACAACCACAAGCAGUCAGAGUGGAGGGAGCUGGCUGCCAUGAAGACUGCUGCACCUCACUGCUGCAUCUGAAGUCUACGACUUUGGAACAAACAAAUGGGAAACCUUCAGUCUUUCCCCAGGAGAGGAGCUCAGUGAACCUGCUGAGCAGUGAGGGGCUUCACCAUCAUCCAGAAUGACAACAAUGAGGUGAUCCCCAAUGUUGGCAGUACGAGGAGGACAAGAAGGAAUGGAGCGGGAUGCUGAGGGAGAUGCGUUACGCCGUUGGCUCCUCCUGCGUAUCCAUGCGCCUCAAUGCUACCAAGAUGCCCAAACUCUAGACCCUCGCUGCCCCAUCAUAUUUCCCCAUGAUGCACUCUGUCUGCCUGGAUUACCACCAUCUUCUCUGGGUUGUCUUUCCAUUUCAGUAAUAGAGGUGGUGGCACCGUCACAUGACAACUCAAAUGUGGACUCUUAUUGGUUGAUUGUGUUGAGUUUCAAAUAGUCAAUUUAUGAUCUCAGGUGAUUUUCGGUACAAUAAAAACAACAUCUACUUUGCGUCAGUGAAGACCGCAUCAGUAUAUUAGUUUCCCUCACUAUAGAGUAACCCACAAUGUGUA